ACUCAUUGUGACUCUUGUUCUUUCUCCACCUCUCUAAGCAAUGCCGGCCCUAACCCAUCCCCAAUCAAAACUUUUCAACACCGUCCAAACCCCAUCAUUUUUGCCCCAUUGUCGCCGACAGGAACUCGCUGCACCUGUUCUCGUUGCACUCAUUUCCAUUGUCGAUCUGGUAGUGGAUCCUAGAUGGAUUUGCUGAUUUCAGGAGAAUCAGGGGAUAUGGUUUUUUCAUAACCCCUCCAUCAUCCCGAGCGUCAGGUUCUUGCAGUGUGUGGCUUUGGAACAUGGUCUGAUACUAGUGGACACAAAGUAAGAAUUUGGAAAGGGACCUGAUGACAUCUAUGGAGAAUUGGAGGUGAAGGAACUAUGCAUCGAACUAAAUGAUAAAGUAUCAGAGAUGGAAUGAUUACAAUCUAAGUUGAUUAGAAGAGACUUGGAAGAAGAAACAGAGGAACCUGCUAAGAGUAGUUUAAAAGCUGUUAUUGCGACCUUAGAGAAGGAGAAUGUCA